rnacentral:other from 1 species
ACCAUCCUGAGGUGUACGGUUGCUCUUGUAGUUUUGAACCUACAGUACUUUAAAAGGGAUUCCUAUAUCGUUGAGUGGAUGUCAGGCCUCCGAAUGUGCAGUGGAAGACAGCAAGCUCAAUUGCGGUUACCCACCUAGCAUUUGCUAGGAGUCAAAACACAGGAGUCGGCAUUUUGGGGCUUAC